rnacentral:rRNA from 1 species
UACGGAGGGGCUAGCGUUGUUCGGAAUUACUGGGCGUAAAGGGCGCGUAGGCGGCGCGAUAAGUUGGGCGUGAAAGGCCCGGGCUCAACCCGGGGACUGCGCUUGAUACUGUCGCGCUGUGAGUCCGGGAGAGGAUGGCGGAAUUCCCAGUGUAGAGGUGAAAUUCGUAGAUAUCGGGAGGAACACCAGUGGCGAAGGCGGCGACCUGGACGGACAUUGACGCUGAGACGCGAAAGCGUGGGGAG